CCUACGGGAGGCAGCAGUGGGGAAUCUUGCGCAAUGGGCGGAAGCCUGACGCAGCGACGCCGCGUGCGGGACGAAGGCCUUCGGGUCGGAAACCGCUUUCAGCAGGGACGAGGCGCGCACGGGGACGGUACCUGCAGAAGAAGCCCCGGCCAACUACGUGCCAGCAGCCGCGGGAAGACGUAGGGGGCGAGCGUUAUCCGGAUUCAUUGGGCGUAAAGCGCGCGUCGGCGGCCUGUUAGGUCGGGGGUCAAAUACCGGGGCUCCCCCCCGGUCCGCCCCCGAUACCGGCAGGCUUGAGUCUGGUAGGAGAAGGCGGAAUUCCCAGUGUAGCGGUGGAAUGCGCAGAUAUUGGGAAGAACACCGGCGGCGAAGGCGGCCUUCUGGGUCACGCCUGACGCUGAGGCACGCAAUCUAGGGGAGCGAACAUGAUUAGAUACCCUUGUAGUC
rnacentral:rRNA from 1 species